rnacentral:lncRNA from 1 species
UUUAAAAAAAAGUCUAAAAUAUGACAGUCACACUAUUUUAUCUAUAUUCCCAACUAAUUAAAUUGUUCCCUCCGAUCGAGUUCGCCCAUCCCAUCAUAAUUUUUCUAACAUUUUUGUGUCGUACUUUAAAUUAUUUUCUCUGAAUAGGAGAGAUAUGAUUGCGUUGCGAUAAAGAUAAUGUGAUAUAGCUAUUACACAUAAGUUUAAAAUAUGAUAGUCACACCACCUUAUCUAUGUUCCCAACUAAUUAAAUUGUUCCCUCCGAUUGAGUACACCCAUCCCAUCAUAAUUUUUCUAACAUUUUUAUAUCGUACUUUAAAUUAUUUUCUCUCAAAAGGAGAGAUGAUUACGUUGUGAUAAAGAUAAUGUGAUAUAGCUAUUACACAAAAGACCACUUUUUUCUUUUCUUUUUUUUUUGAGAGAUAGGUAGCACGCUACCCACUUCGUUUAUUUCAUUUAGAAAUAAACUUAGCUAGAAAUAUGAAUCAGCUAGGAUUCGAACUUGGGUCUCGGAUACCAACCAGCAAGCCUUUUGCCACUUGCUCUAGGGAUGGUCGGUUACCACCUGAAUAUCU